rnacentral:lncRNA from 1 species
GAUAGUAUUAGUCCCAAUGUGGCAGUGAAAUCUUCUGAGAGGUCAAUUCUUGCUAUCUGUAGCUUGGAACAGAAUAUAAGGUGAAAAAAAGGAAAAAAAAAAAACUAAAAAGGGGUAAAUAAACAUUCCUGUUUUGAUACUUCCAAAGUUCCACCUAGGUAAAGGACGAAAUGGCAUGUUGUUCACAUAUGCAAAGUACUAAG